rnacentral:rRNA from 1 species
AUUGAACGCUGGCGGUAUGCUUAACACAUGCAAGUCGAACGGCAGCACAGUAUGUAGCAAUACAUAUGGGUGGCGAGUGGCGGACGGGUGAGUAACGCGUAGGAAUCUACCCUAAAGCGGGGGACAACCCGAGGAAACUCGGGCUAAUACCGCAUAAUCUCGAAGGAGUAAAGCUGGGGCAACCUGACACUUUAGGAGGAGCCUGCGUCCGAUUAGCUAGUUGGUGAGGUAAAGGCUCACCAAGGCGAUGAUCGGUAGCUGGUCUGAGAGGAUGAUCAGCCACACUGGGACUGAGACACGGCCCAGACUCCUACGGGAGGCAGCAGUGGGGAAUAUUGGACAAUGGGGGCAACCCUGAUCCAGCAAUACCGCGUGUGUGAAGAAGGCCUUAGGGUUGUAAAGCACUUUAGUUGGGGAAAAAGGAUAGUUGUUUAAGAGAUGAUUAUUUUGACGGUACCCAAAGAAUAAGCACCGGCUAACUCUGUGCCAGCCGCCGCAGUAA